rnacentral:lncRNA from 1 species
GCCGCUUCGCUCAACUCCUGCUCUCUCCCACAAUGAACCCUAGCCGCCAUCCGCCGCUGUGGCCCGAUUCUCCCUUGCCGAUGAAGUUCGGCGCACCGAGGCUAGCCGCGCUCCGCUGACCGACGAAGACCAGCGUCCCCAGCCAUGGCCUGGACCAGUGACGACCAGUCAAACCCCAUCCAAGAUGCGCACCGCCAUGCCCCAUGCGUCACGCCGCCAACCCAAACCCUCUGCGUCGCUCCACUGCUCGUGACGCGUCCAUCCGUCGGUGUUGCUCCUCCUUCUUAGUCUCUGCCCAUCUUAGUCGUGGUCCUUCCAUCAACUCUGGCGGUGCUCAAGGUGUGUUUUCUUUCCCCUUUUUCCUUGAUAUCUCCCUCUGUUGAUCUCAGAUGUGAAUGGUUUUGGUUUGUAAGUUGCUACUUGCUAGAUACUGGAUAUACAUGUGAGAUCAGAAUGAUUGUAUUUGUCAGAUGUGCAUGACAGAUUGUAAUGAUUUUAUUUUAGGUGGAUGAAUCUUUGACUAUGCAGUGACAAAUCAUAGCCACUCGAACGUGAAAAAAUAUUUUGAAUGUGAUAUUGAAUUUUUAUUGGCCGCAUAUCAUAGGAGUCGUAGUCACUGUCCCCUUCCGGUGCUCCACCUCGAAGCUGAAGGUGAGCAAGCUACUUCAUCUCUCUAUGUACAUAUAUUCAUUUAUGUGCAUCAAUUAUAUUGUUCAUGUUUUGUGAUGUCUAGAUUUUCUGAUGUUCAAACUCAUGUAGAUGUAGUGGCUUGCUUGUAGGUGCUGCUAUUGGAACAAUCAUAGUUUUUUGUUGGUUUUUAUCUCCAUGGCAGAGUGUACCAUGCUAUUUUCAAUAUAUUAACUUGGAAUGGUUGCUGUGUAGAGAGGGUACAGACACACCAAUGUCAUUUCUUAGCUCUCAAUAAGAAGAUUUUCUAAAAUGUUUGCCAGAUUUGGAGCACUUGAUUAUAUGCACUUUAUGUUGUGAUUUGCUCAUGUCAAUGUUGCUUACAUGUGCUGUUGUUGAAAUAAUCAAUUUAUUUUUGUUGGUUUGUAUGUUCGUAUGUACUAUUGUUAGAUGGAAUCUUAUAAUAACGAGUAACUUCCUAUUUUUUUGUAGAUGUUUCCUACACCGGAAUCUGAUCAUGAUGAGGAGUUGAAUGAGAAAGAUGAUGCAUUUAUAAUUCUAGAGGCAGAGCUUGCCUAUUCCAUGGGCUGAUGUAGCUUGUUAUCUUCUUACUCUGUGUCAAAGAUAAAUGUUGUUGCUUGUAUCUUCUUACUUUGUGUCAAAUAUAAAUGUUGUUGUUUCACUUGCUCAUUAUCUUCUUACUUUCUGUAUAAUAUAAAUGAUUAUGUAUGCAUGAAUCUUGUUGUUGGACCAUGAAUCAUGAAUCUUCUUACUUCAUGCCAUAUGAAUCUUGUUACCUUCUG